UACGAAGGGGGCUAGCGUUGCUCGGAAUUACUGGGCGUAAAGGGCGCGUAGGCGGAUAGUUUAGUCAGAGGUGAAAGCCCAGGGCUCAACCCUGGAAUUGCCUUUGAUACUGGCUAUCUUGAGUUCGGGAGAGGUGAGUGGAACUCCGAGUGUAGAGGUGAAAUUCGUAGAUAUUCGGAAGAACACCAGUGGCGAAGGCGACUCACUGGCCCGAUACUGACGCUGAGGCGCGAAAGCCAGGGGAGCGAACGGG
rnacentral:rRNA from 1 species